AAAUGUGUGACCUGAGCACCUGGGCAUUCUUGGGAGAUGCUGACUAAGGGACAACAGCCCAGUGGUGGCAGGAAUUUCCCAGAUGGUGAAGCCUUUUUUACUGCACACAUAGCGUGGAUUCUCAUACCUGGAUCUCUGACAGAUAAGUGCUGGGCUCCAACCCACAGAGGGGAUGGGAGCAGGAUGCUGGGUCUGGAAUUGUCAGGAGGGAUUUUUGAGGCAGCUUUGGAGCUGGGGAUGUCCAAGAAGCAGCCCCUCAGGCCCCAUAAGGGGAAGAGUCUCAAUUUGAUCUCAAUGCUGAGUUGCACAGGGCAGAGCAGUUCCUCUGGGUGUCAUGUCACUUGUCUCUUGUGCAGUCUGUGUCUUCUGUGUGUGUUGCAUUGCCUGUCUCUUACCUUAGCCCUUUGAGGGGCCUAUCAGAAACCCUGGGCUCAUCCAUAGCAUCUUGUGCUCUCUGCAUUCAUCAGCCUGGCUCUGGUGCCAUCAAACCUUGGUCUCAGGAGCUUGGACAGGCAUCUGAAUCUCUUCUCUUUUGGAAAGCAUCCAGUCUGAUCUCUUUUAAGGUCUUCUUCUGAGCUGUGCACCUGAAGGAUCCAUUAUCUCAGCUUGGGUCUUGGAAGAAUGGAAGAUAAGAGGAUUCUCAGGCAUCCAUCUCUGCAGCAUCUUCUAGAAGGAAAUCAUUCUACUAGCAUCUUAUUUCCCACCGUGCCAGCUUGCUCUCUGUCUUCCCUCAGUCCUUGUGGUCCUUCCUCUUGCUGAGAUAUUUUUUUCCCUCUCUUGUCAUCCCCUUAUUUGUCACGUCUUGUGUCACGGGUGCCUGCAUGCAUUUGGGUCGGUGCUGCUCUGCCCUGCUGUGUAGUCUGGGCAUAGGGGUGCUAGGACCAGUCCUAGGGACUUGCCAUUUGUAAUGUGGGGUGGUGUUGGACUCUAGUUGAGAUCUGCAGAUUGAUCCCAGAUCUGUGGAGGGGUUAGGCUGUCCUGCAGCACUUUGACUUUUGUCCUGCCUGUGUUUCAGAGGCAGAGGGAUCCAAGUUGAGGACAAAGGCCUCUCCUGGCUAAGGGGUUCGCCCCAAGCGGGUCAGUCCCAGUUUGCCUUUAUAGGGAAAGCGUUAACGGUGACUCUGUUACAGCAUUUGUCUUUGUCUUUGUUUUUAGGAAAUGAAGCUGGAUAUCAGCAGGCCAGGCAGUGCCCUUGAACUACCCUGAGAUGGCUCUGCCCAGCUGGCCAAGAGACGCAGUUCACUGCUCCCGUGAGCCCUCCAGCAGUAUUCCAGGAGCCUGAUGAAGCCUUCACCUUCUCCUAUUUGAAGAUGCCAGCCAGGUAGCCUUUGGCAAGAGCCAAGCAGUUGAGGU